GGGGCCUUCUAGAACUCAAUUGUCCCCCCAAACCACCGCUUGGUCGCUUCUUCCCUUUAUCCUUCUCGAACGCCUCACGGUCCUCACGCUCGCAGGAGUUCCCGUGCUCGACCCAUAAGGCACGGUCCAAAGCCUCCGCGAAAGUAUGAAACUUGAAGGCAUGCACCAUACGAAACACGCCGGGUCGGAGUCCUCUCACGAAGCAAUCUGCUCGAUCUUGCUCCGUCGUCGCCACGUCCGGGACACAGUUCAAAAGAUGUGUGAACUCCCGCUCAUACUCCCGAACCG
rnacentral:lncRNA from 1 species